rnacentral:rRNA from 1 species
UAAUUCCAGCUCCAAUAGCGUAUAUUAAAGUUGUUGCAGUUAAAAAGCUCGUAGUUGGAUUUCGGAGCAUUCACGAUGCUGACCGCUGAAACGGCGUGUUCGGCGCGUGGGUCUCCUUUUCUUGGGGAAUCAAGUGGGUGGCGGGUAAAACCGUCAUUCGCUCCCCAUCGUUUACUUUGAGAAAAUUGGAGUGCUCAAAGCAGGCACAACCCUGCCUUGAACAAUGCAGCAUGGGAUAAUAGAACAGGACGAAGGUCCUAUUUUGUUGGUUUCUAGGGCUUUUGUAAUGAUUAAAAGGGACAGUUGGGGGCAUUCGUAUUCAAUUGUCAGAGGUGAAAUUCUAGGAUUAAUUGAAGACGAACUACUGCGAAAGCAUUUGCCAAGGAUGUUUUCAUUAAUCAAGAACGAAAGUAGGGGGAUCGAAGAUGAUCAGAUACCGUCGUAGUCUCUACCAUAAACGAUGCCGACCAGGGAUCCGGAGACGUCACGUGGAUGACUCCCCGGGCACCUUGUGAGAAAUCAUAAGUCGCUGGGUUCUGGGGGGAGUAUGGUCGCAAGGCUGAAACUUAAAGGAAUUGACGGAAGGGCACCACCAGGCGUGGAACCUGCGGCUUAAUUUGACUCAACACGGGAAAACUUACCAGGUCCAGACACAGUAAGGAUUGACAGAUUGAGAGCUCUUUCUUGAUUCUGUGGGUGGUGGUGCAU